AUGCAAGCUAAAGGUGCCUCCUUUUCCCUCCCAGCCCUCCACCAGGACCUGGCUGCGAGGAAGAAGGGCCACAUUAAAACGGUGUCAUUCAGCUCCCUUCCUCCUCUUCUCACCCUCCAUGAGGAAACGUCCUACAGCUCAGCGAAUUCAUUUUCCCAACUCAUUCUCAAACAUAAAUCAGUUGCCUUAACAACAUUAUUUCAGCUGACGACCAAAAAGAAGACAUUUGCAAGGCACACAGGAAGACUCCGCUGCUGUAGCCUACUUCUUGUUGACCAGUAUGUGUCUGAUGUAGAUGUAAAGCUAAGACCACAGUGGCAUUUUAAAAUUAUUUGAGCAUAAAAAACAUACAGAGAUACACUCAUGAAUCAGAGAAGUACCCAUGUUCUAUAAAAAGGGAACUAGAAACCAGAAUAUUCCAGGGAUGAUCUGAGCAUGUAAAACGGUUGGCGGGUAUGCAUUGCAGCACGUGUACAAGGAGAGGCUGAGAGCGGGGGCUGUUCAGCCUGGGGAAGGGAAGGCUCGGGGGGAAUCUCCUCCAUGUAUAUAAAUACCUGAUGGCUAAAGAGGAGUAAAGAGGAUGGAGCCAGCCCCUUCCCAGUGGUGCCCUGUGACAGGAUGAGAGGCAAUGGGCACAAAAUUAAACACAGGAAGUUUCAUUUAAGCAUAGGGAGAUUUUUUUAUUUUUUAUUUAUUUUUUCGCUGUGAGGGUGGUCAGACACUGGAGCAGGUUGCCCAGCAAGGCUGUGGAGUGUCCAUCUGUGGAGAUCUUCAAAACCCAUCUGGACACAGCCCUGAGCAACCUGCUCUUGCUGACCUUGCUCUGAGCAGGGGUUGGACUGGGCCAUCACCAGAGGAGCCCUCCCACCUCUGCCAUCCUGCAGCUCUGUCUGACCCACGCUGACAGCUUGGUGUUUCCCUAAAACGUCUCUUGCUGGUUUCUGGGUGUCCUACACGUGGGUGAAAGGAGAGGAUGGAGAACAGGCACUGGAACACAGCUGAGAUAUAGAUGUCCUCCAUGGGCACGCAAAGGCAGUGAGUUGCCCAUGCACAGGCACACCUUUAAGCUCCCGAAAUGGGUAUUGCCUUUGCUGUGUCGUGGCUUACCAGAGACGGCCUUCAGCUGGCUCCACACUGUUGCAUAUCGGUCAGUAACUUUCCAGUGGGAUAGAAACAGCUUCCACAAAGGCUGCUGCAGGCAGCAGGAACUGCAGGCAGCAAGCAAAUAACAGCGAGGAGACACCCCUUCUUCCAGCGCUGCAGGAACCAGAAGCACAUUAAUGCAUUUGGGAACUGUACUGAGUAUGUAACAACGCCGUGCUUUAUGUCUAUUUUU
rnacentral:lncRNA from 1 species